AUAUAUAUAUAUAUAUAUAUAUAUAUUAAAUCUAAUGGUAGAUAGAGAAGGGCUCAGUGCAUCCAGAGAGGUCCUCCAGCAGCCUAGGCCUGUAGCAGCAGAACUAGGGGCAGAACUAAGGGACGUCCAAGAGGAAGACUCCAGCUGACCCCCUCAGGGUCCCCCAGUCAGUCCUAACUAUAAGAUUUGUGAAAAAGGAAGGUUUUAAGCCUGGUCUUAAAAUUAGAGAGGGUGUCCGCCUCCAGAACCCAAACUGGGAGCUGGUUCCACAGGAGAGGUGCCUGAUAACUGAAGGCUCUGCCUCACAUUCUACUUUUAGAGAUUCUAGGAACAACAAGUAAGCCUGCAGUCUGAGAGCGAAGAGUUCUGCUAGGAUAAUAUGGUACUAUCAGGUCUUUAAGAUAUGAUGGAGAUUGGUUGUUAAGAGCUUUAUAUGUCAGAAGAAGGAUUUUGAAUUCUAUUCUACAUUUCACAGGAAGCCAGUGAAGAGAAACCAGCAUAGGAGAAAUCCUGAUUUUUACAAUAUUUCUCAGGUGGAAAAAGGAAGUCCUACAGAUUUGUUUUAUGUGUGAGUUAAAGGACAUGUCCUGGUCAAAGAUAACACCGAGGUUCCUCACAGUAGUACUGGAGGCCAAUGUAAUGCCAUCCAGAGUAACUAUAUCAAUCCGUCCAGCCAGUAGUAGAUGGGUCCCCCCACAUUAGAGCCGGGUUCUGCUCGAGGUUUUUUUCCCUGUUAAAAGGGUGUUUUCCUGCCACUGUCUCCUUAGGGCUGCUCUGGGGGUUCAGGCAUAUGGGUUCUGUAAAGUGUCUCGAGACAAUUUGACUGUAAUUGGCGCUAUAUAAAUAAAAUUGAAUUGAAUUGAAUUGAAUUAUAUGGUUUGAAAGCAAUUUUCUAAGAUGUUUGGGGCCAAAUACAAUGACUUCAGUCUGGUCUGAAUUUAGUAGUAAGAAAUUAUAGGUCAUCCAGGUCUUUAUGUCCUUAAGACAAUCUUGCAGUCUGGCUAGCUGAUUAGUUUCAUCUGGCUUCAUAGAUAAAUACAAUUGAGUGUUGUCAGCGUAACAGUGGAAAUUAAUACAGUGCUUCCUAAUAAUAUUGCCUAAGGGAAGCAUGUAUAAUGUGAACAGUAUUGGUCCUAAGACAGAGCCCUGAGGAACUCCAUGAUUAACCCUAGUAUGCUCAGAAGAGUCAUUGUUGACAUGCACAAACUGGAACCUGUCUGAUAAGUAGGAUUUAAACCAGUCCAGUGCUGUCCCUUUAAUGCCAAUAGAAUGUUCUAGUCGCUGUAAUAAAAGUUUGUGGUCGAUUGUAUCGAAUGCUGCACUAAGGUCCAAUAAAAUAAGUAUAGAGACCAGUCCAUUAUCUGACACUAUGAGAAGGUCAUUAGUAACUUUCACCAGAGCGGUUUCUGUGCUAUGAUGCACUCUGAAGCCUGACUGAAACUCUUCAAACAGGCUAUUCCUUUGUAAAUGUUCACAUCAUUGAUUUGCAACUGUUCUUUCCAGAAGUUUAGAGAGAAAUGGGAGGUUAGAAAUUGGUCUGUAGUUGGCUAAAACAUCUGGAUCUCGAGUGGGCUUUUUAAGUAAAGGUUUGAUUACAGCAACCUUAAAAGCCUGUGGUACAUAACCUGUUACUAGAGAGAGAUUAAUCAGAUCUAACAUUGAGGAAUUAAAGGUAAAGCCUCCUUGAACAGUCUAGUUGGGAUAGGAUCUAAAAGACAUGUUGAUGGUUUGGAUGUAGAAACUAUUGAAAUGAGUUCAGAGAGAUGUAUGGGAGUGAAAAAUUCUAAAUAUCCAUCUGGUCUUACAGCCAAUUCUAAAGUAUCUGUACUCGAUGAUACAUCUCUGACAUUUGUAGGAAGGGCCAGAUUAAUUUUUUCUCUAAUCGUAAUAAUUUUAUUUGUUAAGAAGCUCAUGAAGUCGUUACUGCUCAAAGCUAAAGGAAUACAAGGUUCAACAGAGCUCUGACUCUUUGUCAGCCUGGCUACAGUGCUGAAGAGAAACCUGGGGUUGUUCUUGUUUUCCUCUAUUAAAGAUGAAUAAUAUGUUGUCCUGGCAUUACCAAGAGGUUUUUUAUAAAUUACUAGACUAUUUUUCCAAGCUACAUAAACUUCCUCUAAAUUAGUGGAGUAUCACUUCCUUUCCAGCUUUCGGGACGCCUGGUUUAAAGUCCGCAGCUGGGAAUUAUACCAAGGAGCAGGUCCUCUCUGAGAUAGAACUUUCUUUUUUACAGGUGCAACACUAUCAAGUGUUGUACGCAGUGAGGCUGCAGCAUUAUUAACAAUAUAAUCCACUUCUGUGGGGGUAAAAUUAUAAUAUUUCCCUUCCAUUAUAUCAGUAAGUGGUGCUGGACUAAAUAGAGAGGGUAUUAUUUCCUUAAAUUUAGUCACCGAAUUGUGAGACAGACAUCUACUGUAAUGAUAUUUAUUCUUAACUCCUAUACAAUCUAUUGUUGUAAAUUGAAAUGUUAUCAUAAAAUGGUCAGAAAGAAGAGGGUUCCAGGGAAAUACUGUUAACUGUUUGAUUUCUAUGCCAUAAGUCAGAACGAGGUCAAGGGUAUGAUUAAAACUAUGAGUUGGUUUAUUUACAUGCUGAGAAAACCCAAUUGAGUCUAAUAUUGAAUUAAAAGCAGUCGUAAGGCUGUCACUGUCCACGUCAACAUGAAUGUUGAAGUCACCCACAAUAAUGACUUUAUCUGAGCUGAGCACUAAAUCAGAUAAAAAGUCUGAGAAUUGAGAUAAAAACUCAGAGUAAGGAGCAGGAGGACGAUAUACAACAACAAAUAAAACUGGUUUCUGAGCUUUUAAAUCUGGAUGAGAGAGACUGAGAGUAAGAUUUUCAAAUGAACUGUAACUAGGUUUAGGUCUCUGGUUCAUUUUUAAGCUAGAGAGGUAAAUUGCUGCCACUCCUCCUCCUCGGCCUGUGAUUCGAGGAACAUGAAAGUUAGUAUGAAUAGUAGGAGUUGAUUCAUUUAGACUAACAUAUAAAUAAAUGUGCAUAAUGUGGAAAUGAACAGAUUCUAUUUUUAUUUAUUCCUCCAGCUGCUGCACAGAAAAUUCCAGAAUGUGGAGGAAUUUAGUCUCACAAUCACAGACAAUAAAUAUUAUCGGAAAGUCGGGUUAUUGUUGUUUAUCAGCACAAUACAAAAAGAUUCAUGUUAGAAAUAUUCCAGUUAAGACUCUAGAAUAUCAGGAUUUAUGUAAAUUUAUCUCAAUAAUAUGAAUGUUCAGGUUAAGAUUGUGCAGUGAUAUUUAUUCUGUAAGUUUAGCUGAUUAAAGUUUAUGACUCUGCACUACAAUAUUAUUUAAAUUUACAUCAUUAUUAUAAUAUUUAGGGUCAGACCCUACAGUAUUGAGAUUAAGAAAUCAAAUAUUCUAUAAAAUGUAAAUACACUGAACUCAUUUGGAGAUAUUUAAGUGAGACUCUACAAUAUUAUGACACAAAUCUAUCUAAAUCAAAAUUUUAAUCAUUUUACUACAAACAUUUACUGGACUAAACAAACUUUAACAAAAGGUGCCUGAGAGUUUACAGGUUUUUAUGUUGGAUUUCUUCAGUAAUUUAAUGAGAGUUAUCAGCAAAAAUCAAGUGUUCAUUUGAUGAACUUCAUUUCCUAAAAACAACCAGAAUUGGAGCUCAUAUCUUUGGCAGCUGUAAAGUUUCUGCUCCUUCAAAGUUCACAACACAAUGAAUGAAUUCCUAAAAUACUCUCAAUGCUGGAGAGCGUUUGAUGCUGAAGCAGUGAUCAGUUUUUCUGUUUCUUCUCUGGAGAUGCACAAUGAGGGACGUCUGCAGAGACUGAGAAAGAGUCUCACCACAUCCUGACAUGAGGAAAAAGACUUUAUUGAAGACUACAAUGAGAAAAACUAUCAGACAGCAGACGGCUGCAUUCAAGGUGAGCUCUGAACAUUUGAUCUGGAACAGGAAUUCAAUAACGGCAGCAUGAGCUUCAUUUCAGUCUGUAGCUGCUGAAUUCAUGGAUGAAUCAUCUGGCACUAGAGAGGAAGACCAUCAAACAUCCACAUCAGCUGAUGGAGGUCCAAGAGUCUCACCCAACAAACAACCUACAGAGUGAAGACCUCCAAUCUGAUUGGACGGCCUCCUAUUCAGCCACAUUUUAGGCUGUUAGAUUGUUCCAGAUAAGACAAGUACAAGAUUCUUCAGAGCCGUUCUACCACGAGCCUGACAGGAAGAACUCCAACAGCUACUGAAUGUUCCUGUGGUUCCCUCAAGGCUACAGGAGGAGCCCUACGAGGACGAGCCGGUCCACCUGAUGGAGGCCAGUCGCUGCGGUUCAAAGCCAACACCGACUACGUGGACUUCUACUGGACCACAUGGAGGCCUUCAAACCGGACCAACAAGUUCAGCGACUCCCCGACUCGUGGGUCUGAGGACGCCGCCGAGCCUCGGUCCAGCCGGCCUCCUGUCUGUGGGUGUUUGAGUGCUGAGAGGUUUGUGGAUGCAUGUGAACGUUCUGUGUUGAAACAGCAGCUUUGGACUCAGUAACGCCGGGAAAAACCAAGAGCUCCUUUAUUUGUGACUUCCACUAAAAAAACUGAUGAAAAUAAGUUUGCCAGGGUUCUGACUGAUAACAGGUUAUUAAAUAAUGAAAAUAAUCGUUUAAAUAUUCCUUUAAACAAUCCUUUUAGGUCUACAUUUUCUUUACACUGACCUCAAGUAUUUUGGGUGGAAUGUACCAUUAAGCCCAGUGUUCAAGGGUUCUUCUGGGAAUAUACCAUUAAACCAACCUUUUAGGUAAAUGUUCCAGGAUGUUGGGUAGAAUAUACCAUCAGAUAAACCUUUUAGGUCUACAUUGGAAGAUUUUAGAGUAGAAUAUUACUCCAAACCAUCCUUUAGGUCUACAUUUAAGGUGGAAUACUCCUUUACACCAAGAUUUUUUGGUCUACAUUGAAGGAUUUUAGGUGGAAUAUUCCUUUGAACGAACUUUUGAAGUUUAUGUUCAAGGAUGUUGAGUGGAAUAUACCAUCAGACCAACCUCCAAGGUCUACAGUAGUGAAUUUUAGGUGGAAUAUACCAUUAAACUCACCUUUUAGGUCUACAUUGGAGGAUUUUAGGUGGAAUUUUCUUCCAAACCGUCUUUUAGUCUACAUUUAAGGAUGUUUAGGAUGGUAUAUUCUUCCAAACCAACUUCUCAGGUCUACAUUUCAGGUGGAAUAUUCCUCCAUACUAACUUUUUUGGUCUACAUUGAAAGAAUUUUUCGAAACCACCCUUUGGGGUCUAUAUUUGAGGUUUUAGGUGGAAUAUUCCUUUUAACCAGCCCCUCAGGUCUCUUUGAGGAUUUUGGAUGGAAUACUCAGUUAAACCAACAUUUUAGGUGCAUGUCCAAGGAUUUUUGGUGGAAUGUUCCUUUAAGGUGGAUGUUUGAGGACCUUGUAGGUGGAAUACUUCCUGAAACCAACCUUUUAGGUCAACAUUCAAAGAUUUAAGGUGGAAUAUUCCUUUAAACCAGGCUACAUUUCAUGUUUUGAUCAUUAUCAAGUGAGAAACCUCAAUCCAGACUCGUCAUAAUGAUGUUUGAGAUUUAUGCUGCUGUUAUUUGUUUAGUCCAGACUAAAUGACAGAAAUCCACAACUGUAAUUUUAUUUCAGGACUCGGUUAUUAAAUGUCAAAACAAUCCAUGUGACUCUAAAAACUCAACAGCUUUACAAACUCUAAGAUUAAACUCUCCACAAGGAUCCAAAAUAAGUUGGACUUCUACAUGAGAGCUUUAAUUAUUCUUCAUCUACUUCCUGAAAAGUUUGGUCAAUAAAAAAGACAAAAACUAAUAUUUUCAGCUGAACUAAAGACAGACUUUGUGAUUUUUCUGCUCACAUGUUGUGUUGUUGUAAACUUCCUCUUUCAAAUAAAUAUCCUCCUAACCCCCUGGAAA